rfam:Paenibacillus sp. TNCCL117 genome assembly, contig: FG16DRAFT_scaffold00021.21
UGGGGAUUAGCCAAGCGGUAAGGCAACGGACUUUGACUCCGUCACGCCUAGGUUCGAAUCCUAGAUCCCCAG